GUGGUCCAGGCCCCGCCUCCGCCCGGCGCUCGGGCGGGAACCCGGGCGCAUCCGCACGUGCGGGCGCUGCUGCAGGUGUGUGCGGCUCAGCCCCUGCCUGGACAGCGCUCCCUCCCCAAGCCUGAGAGUCCCUGCCUCGCGCGCCCCAGGGCCCGAGGUCCCGCUCCCCAAUUUCCCCUAGAGAUCCGGGUCGCCCCCAAGCGAGGUCUCUUGCUCCACGCCCGCUUCCUUGUGCCAGGGACCCCCACCUCCCUGCAUAAAGGCGUGGGGUCCUCUCCAAGUCCCCCUCGCGAUCCCACUGGACUUCGAAGUCAGGCUCCUGCCCGCCCACCGCCUCUGUGCCAGGGUCCAACCCCCGCCCCACGGUGCACCCCCCAGGGCCUGGGGUCCCAGUCCCCAAGUACCCCUUGCUAUCAGGUGGGCUUUAGGGUCAGGCCCCUGCCCCACCCCCAGCCUCUGUGCCAGGGACAGCUCCACAAUCAUGCACACCCCAGGGCCUGAGGUCCCUCUCCCCUAGUCUCUCCUAGCUCCCCUCUGGCUGGCUCCCGGCUUUGGGAUCAGGCCACCUCCUCCACGCCACCUCCUCCGCCCCACCCAAGGCCACAGACCCGGUCUCUGUGCCCCCAGCCAGAGACCUCUCUACCACAGUGGUGCUUCCAUGGCGAGGGCAGGCUCACACCAGCCAGAACCCUCCAUGUGGAGCCCCACCCUCUUCUGGGGUGCCUUUCCCCGCAACGGGCGUUGUCCACCUCUAAAGCCACCCUUGCCGGGCGCGGUGGCUCAUGCCUGUCAUCCCAGCAGUUUGGGAGGCCGAGGCGGGUGGAUCACGAGGUCAGGAGUUAGAGACCAGCCUGGCCAACAUGGUGAAACCCCCGACUCUACUAAAAAUACAAAAA
rnacentral:lncRNA from 1 species